UUCCAAGUUGGAACCGGUUCUCGAUGCCCAAUCCUAAUUAUGACUGAGAUAGGGAUAGUCGUCGAUGUUUAUUUUUCUGCAAAGAUGCGCGCAUAUUAGACGGGCCAAUGAGCAGCUGCAUCUAGUUUUUGCGUGCUGUGUUCUAGUCUGCAGACUUUGUCAAACAUGUCAUGGCAGCAAAUCCUUGGAGGUUUAGACAAUUACGGAAAUCCUCGCAGGUUUUUAUUUGCAGCUUUUCUUUUUGACGCAGGUUUACAUAUGAAUGUUGCUUUUUAUUUGCGGGGAUCCAUAAAUAGCUAGAGUGAAAUACGUGAAUUGCAUUUGGCUUUCAGAUUCCAGCGGUGCAUCCCUGAGCUUCCCCCCUCAUUUCCUUCCCUUCAGUCUCCACGAAAAAAGUUACAGAGUGAUCGGAGGGAAGGGGAAGGAAAGAAGAGGCCAUUUAAAACAAAAAAAAGAGCCCUGACACCAAGAAUCAAAACACUAUACCUUUAGAGAUGAUGACAUUAGAGAAAUAACGAACUGCUGUAGUAAAAUAUGUACUGUAUAGAUUACGUUGCUGGCUUGUAAAAUGGCUUCCCUGACAACAACGCAACCGUGCUGCAGUGUUUUUCCUCCACAAACCACGACGGACCAAAACCAGAAUGUGAACACGUUCAGUGCACAAUAAGAAAACAAACGCACAACUUCACAUUUUUAUACCGAAAGGCAUGAUCUCAGACUUGUUUUUUUAAUGUUGACCCCUGCCGGUUAUCACCCUCUGUACGUGACAGCCGACAGACAGAAGGACAGUGCCAUCUGGGGGGUGGGGGAGGGGGGGGGGGUGUCUACUGUGGAAACAAAGCAAGCAGGCUGGACAGGAGAAGCACACAAGAGUUCAAUUAUUUUCGUAACAGAGAAAAAUGCUAAUUAGUUUUUUAAGAUCCAUCUGUUGGUUUUAUUUAUGUCGUGUAAAAAUAAUUGUUUUUUUGUAGCUUUCUUUUCUAGCUUUCUCGUUUGUUACUCGGAAAUAUAGGUAUUCGUUUUACUUAAAGGUACUAUGUUGGAAUGUUUUAGAAACUCCUUGUUAUUGUAAUUAAGCGAACUGCAGUCAGCAUUCAUCGGCCAACAGCUCAAACCACAAUAUCACAAUAUAU